CCUGUUGUCUGUAACCAGUAACUAGUCUAGGGAGAGACCUGUUGUCUGUAACCAGUAACUAGUCUAGGGAGAGACCUGUUGUCUGUAACCAGUAACUGGUCUAGGGAGAGACCUGUUGUCUUUAGUUAAAUUUAUUUAAAUGAAUGUAAUACACAUUAUUAUAUCCUUCUGGCUAAAUCCCAAAUGGCACCCUAAAUGACCAGUUCAAAAGUAGUGCACUUUAUAGGGAACAGGGUGUCAUUUGGGCCAAAUAUAGGAUAAUUUGACUGUAGCCUUCUGCGUUCAGCAGAGACCACUUUUUCCUUGUUGGCACUUUAUCUGUUGGUUAGUAGGUGUUAUUAUAUUAUUGAACCUCUUGAGCCAUACGCUAUUGGGUUAGUCAGACUGAUCAGCAAGUCUCAAUAAGGUGUUGGGAUCAACAAGUCUCAAAAAGGUGUUGGGUUAGUCAGGCUGAUCAACAAGUCUCAAUAAGGUGUUGGGUUAGUCAGGCUGAUCAACAAGUCUCAAUAAGGUGUUGGGUUAGUCAGGCUGAUCAGCAGGUCUCAAUAAGGUGUUGGGUUAGUCAGGCUGAUCAACAAGUCUCAAUAAGGUGUUGGGUUAGUCAGGCUGAUCAACAAGUGUCAAUAAGGUGUUGGGUUAGUCAGGCUGAUCAACAAGUCUCAAUAAGGUGUUGGCAUCUACAAGUCUCAAUAAGGUGUUGGGUUAGUCAGGCUGAUCAGCAAGUCUCAAGUCUCAAACACCUUAGUAAUAUAUUCUGUCCAUGGACUCAUGCUACUCAUAUUCACUGGGGUUGUGUGUCCCAAAUGGCAACUCAUUCUACAUUUGACCAGGGCCCAUAUGGGGGAUAGGAGGUCAUUAAUGACCGGGGCCCAUAUGGGGGGGGAUAGGAAGUCAUUAAUGACCAGGGCCCAUAUGGGGGAUAGGAAGUCAUUAAUGACCAGG
ensembl:lncRNA